GGAGGGAGGAUGUGUGUUAUGGGAGGAGGGAGGAUGUGUGUGUUAUGGGCGGAGGGAGGAUGUGUGGUAUGGGAGGAGGGAGCGUGUGUGUUAGGGGAGGAGGGAGCAUGAGUGUAAUACAGAGGAGGGAGGAUGUGGGUUAUGGGAGGAGGGACGAUGUGUGUUAUGGGCGGAGGGAGGAUGUGUGGUAUGGGAGGAGGGAGCGUGUGUGUUAGGGGAGGAGGGAGCAUGAGUGUAAUACAGAGGAGGGAGGAUGUGGGUUAUGGGAGGAGGGACGAUGUGUGUUAUGGGCGGAGGGAGGAUGUGUGGUAUGGGAGGAGGGAGCGUGUGUGUUAGGGGAGGAGGGAGCAUGAGUGUAAUACAGAGGAGGGAGGAUGUGGGUUAUGGGAGGAGGGACGAUGUGUGUUAUGGGCGGAGGGAGGAUGUGUGGUAUGGGAGGAGGGAGCAUGUGUGUUAUGGGAGGGG